UUAACAUUAAUUGGCACCGAGACAAACAUUUACUAAACUAAUCAUGCUUCAUUCCAUCAAAUAUUUCAAUGAAAAAAAAUACAUUAUCUGGUUUUUACCUGGUGAUGAAUUCAACUUCAGUCUUGACUCUUCAUGCGCCAAACCGAUAACCACUUCCAGCCUCGCCGUCACCUGGCAGACCGCCCUACGUCAUCACUCAUGAAUAUUCAUGUUUAUAAAUUAUAUAUUGUCGUAGUCUCGGUCUCUGAAACGCUUAUGAUUGCUUCGGCUUGAAGAUGGAGAAGCCGGCAACGGCUAGUACAUGGUCAAAUCUAUGGACUUCUUUAUCGGACGACAAUUUGAAAGGGUACAUGAACACCUUUCAGGAGGCCGAAAAUGUGCGAAAGGCUUUCGAGGUGGAAAAGUCAUUGACUUUUGUUUCGGGGAAAAAAAGAGAGGGCAUGCCAAAGAAAUUAAAGAGUAAGGUUUUAUGAUGUUGGAAAUGACGUAGUGCCUUAUAAUGGUAUGCCCUUCAUCAUAUGUUCCAAGUAUGAGAGGAACUGUGUUUAUGGAGUGGAUAAACACAAGCGGGCCACGGAAAAACAAAAGAUUUUGAAUGAAGAUGAGUUGAAGCACAAAAUCAUGUUGACAGAAUAUGGUAUCAAAUUACAUACUAGCAAAAGUAUAAGGAUUCAACUUAACUGAUGUUGGUAUCAAAUCUUUGAAGAGGGGUCAGUGGCUGACAGAUCAGGUUAUGGAUGGUUACCUAGCCUGUUUGACACAAAAGGAAAUGGAUAAAGGGUUAAAGGUCAAACACGAAGUUGUAUCGACAAUGACCAACAUAUAAUAGAUAUGAUAAACAUGUGCCAAAUAAGAAGUGCAGAGUCAUGGAGUAUGACUACGGUAUAUCAUUGGAGCUUAUCACCAGCGUGGAGGUCACUGAGAUAUAGUGAUUGUGGAACCAAAAAGAGGGGCAGUUUAUUUUUAUAAUCCGCUGGGGGAAACUGCAUUUCAACAGAGAAGAGCUAUCAAUAGUUGGAGGAAUUAUGUGAAUAGAAGCAUGGUUUUCAAUACAUCAUGGCAUUUGGAAUCAAAGCCACAUGCUAAACAGUUAGAUAGCUGCAACUGUGGAGUAUACUGUUUAAUGUUUGCAGAAAGACAUCUUUCAGGAGAUUCAUUGCUUGACAUCUCUCUAAAAGAUGUUGAAGCAAAGAGAAGGGAGAUAGGAUGUACCUUUCUGCUUUAUGAAGUGUACCUGGAUGAACAAUGUCCUUGCUGUGGAUUUCAAACCAGCAAUGAAAACAAAUCAAAUCUUCUACAAUGCAGAAAUUGUGGAAGAUACUUCCACAAAAAGAACCGUUGUGUUGGAAUGAUGGCUUUGACAAAAGAAAGGACAUUCUUAUGUCACGAGUGUAAAAGUGGUGACAGGAAGAUUUGAAUAUUGGUGGAUCUCACUGUAUUAAUGGUUCCAUUAAAAUGUGAAAGCUGUGAGGCAAUCCAUUAAAACUAAAGACAAUUUAGUAAUUAUUAAUACAUGUAAUAUAAUUUGUAUAUUGUUGAUCAAUUGAUUU